AUUUCAAUUUUCUUUCACAAUACUAUUACACUAUAAUUAAAAUAAUUUUUUCUUUAUAAAAUACUAAAACAAAUCUAUAUAUAAUUAUUUUUAAUAAUUUAAAAUUUUAAAAAAUAAAAACAAUAAAUAAAAUAUAAUCAAUUUAUAUUGAUUUGCACAAAAAUCUUUUCAAUGUAAAUGAAAUACUUUACUUAAUAAGCUUUAAAUUGCAUUCUAGAUACACUUUCCAGUACAUCUACUAUGUUACGACUUAUCUUACCUUAAUAAUAAGAGUGACGGGCGAUGUGUACAUAUUUUAGAGCUAAAAUCAAAUUAUUAAUCUUUAUAAUUUUACUAUCAAAUCCACCUUCAAUAAAUAUUUCAAAUUUAUAUUCGUUUAAAUAAAUUUAUUGUAACUCAUUUUUACUUAAAUAUAAGCUACACCUUGAUCUGAUAUAUUUUCUUUUUUAAAAUUAUGAAAAUUAACAUUCUUAUAAAAUAUUCUAAUAACGACGGUAUAUAAACUGAUUACAAAUCUAAGUAAGGUCCAUCGGGGAUUAUCGAUUAUAAAACAAGUUCCUCUGAAUAGACUAAAAUACCGCCAAAUUUUUUAAGUUUCAAGAAUAUAACUA
rnacentral:rRNA from 1 species